GCCGAGGUAGCUCAGUGGUAGAGCGCGGGCCUGAAGAGCCCGGCGUCGUCAGUUCGAUUCUGACUCUCGGCACCA
rnacentral:tRNA from 1 species